UUUUAAAAAUAGUUGCCCAAAGAGUUGUUUAGAUCACUGAAGCUGAAUCUUGAAACCUCUGAAGCUCCAGGAGAGGGCAAGAACAGGAAUGUUGUACCAGAAAGGCACAGUUUUGAUCAGGACAAGAGGAUGGCUGGUGUGGCACUGGGACAGAGGUCACAGGUUUCACCCUUGUGCCAUCACUUCCCUCCUGGACCAAGGAAUGACAGCAGCACUGAUCCACGUGGCACUCACCAAGUGGCUCUGAACCCAGGCAAUAAAGGAUCCCUUCCAAACACAGACAGGCAGAGGCCAGAUUCAAGAGUCAAGAACCAGAAAACACACCAAAAGAAACCAAGCAGGUAUCUCUGAGCUUUUGGGAAACUACCUGGCUGGACUGGAUCUGAGAAGUGACCUGACAACACAGAUGGACCUACCCUGUCACCCAC